rnacentral:lncRNA from 1 species
AUGACGCUUUGGAGCAUCACCCUGAGACUGGGACUAAAGUCUACCAGGGCCAGGGGAACCGAGAAGAGCAGGCUGCAGAGGUGGCUCCGCCUGCCUGGGGCAGGCAAGAAACCCAAGACGCUGGUCAGGCUUGAUGUCUGGGUGCUUCUGGCAACCUGCUGCGCCAUUGUCUGGCUGAAUAAGAGACACGCAGGUGAUGCGAAUGAAUACAGCUCAGAAUUCUUCCGAAGGAAGAAAAGGACGACGAACCCGGCGACCUGCAGUGUGGAGAUGGAGAGAUCCGGCAGCCACCGUUGCGCACUUCCCAGACAUACCAGGGGGGAGGAAAAGGAAAGGCGACGGACCUGAGAAUUAAGGCUCUGCAGCCUCACGUGCCAGGAGCAUUCUCCAUCUCUUCCUUCUCUCACCCCUUGUCUCCACUGAAACUGGAGCUGCCCACAGGCUGUCAGAUGAGAGAUAAAGGAGCCUGGCGGCACCCAGGC